CUCCUGUACCACCAUCUAGAAUUGAGGUUCUUAUACAAAUGCAUGGCAUGAAUCAUUGGUAUGGUAAGGUUUCCAAGUGUUUUAAGAAAAGAGAAAGAAAAGAUAUUGAAAGCUCAAUAAAUGAAGAGUUGACAAAGGAUGUUAGUAUUCGCAAUCUUGAUUCAAGAGUAUUUGAGGAUGCUGACAAUUUUUAUGAUGAUGAUGAUCAUAUAAAUGAAAGUCGAAAUGAAGAUGACAUAAUAGAGGCAUCUACACAUAGAGU
rnacentral:lncRNA from 1 species